CCAGCUGCUGGAAAAGAAGGUUUUUAACACAGCUGCUAGGAAUUGUAUUCUGCUAACAAUCAUAUAAAUUGAGAAGAAAAUCCUGAAUGUUAGAUAAUUGAGCCAAUACUUUGAUUUCGGCCUGGUGAAAACCUGAGCAGAAGACUCAACUAACCUGUACCUAGACCCUUGACCCAUAGAAGCCAUGAGAUUAAUAAAUGUGUGUUGUCUUAAUCUAUUAAAUUAGUUAUGCAGUUUUCAGUAGAAAACGAAUAGUCUCAUAUUCUAAUUCAGUGGAACUAUUUUUGUGUCUCCUGGUGGAAGCAUUCCCCUCUUGGAUACCAAGAUCUCCAAACCAGCAGUUCAAAGUUGCCAGGAUAAGAAGCAAAAAGUCUAUAAAUGAGUUAUUAGGAAUAAUAGUAAGAGAAGCGACUCACUUCCACUGCUUGUAUUCUGGCUACAAGAGAGGUAACAGCAUAUCAUGCUUUCUGAUCCAAGCACAUACUACUCCCCAUAGGACCAAACCCUGUAAUAGGAUGUUGUCUACCAACUGGUGUAAGACCACAUAUGCGUCCCGAGUAAGCCAUUUCACCUUUCACUUAGACCAGCCAGUCUCAGGUGAUAGGGUAUAUUGCAAGACCAAUUAAGUCCAUAGGGUGAGCCCCAUUGCUGCAUUUCUCCGUUGUAAAAUGAGGUUUCUGGAUCUGAAGCACUGGUGAGUAGAAUGCCAGGACACUGGAUAAGGCAUUGUGUGAGUCCGUGGAUGGUAGUGCUGGCAGAAGUAUUAUGGGCAUGGAGGGCAAAUCUAUAUCCAGAAUAUAUGUCUGUUUCCGUGAGAAUGAAUCUCUACCCCUCCAUGGUAGAAGAGGUCCACUGCGUGUCUGGCUAGUCCUCUCAGGGAAUGGUACCAAUGUUACAUACUCAAAGCUGGUCUCUAUACUCAGCAGUAACUCUAGCCAGGCCAGCCUUUUAAGGGAAAUCCCAUGUUGUUGAACAGCCUCCUGUGCAUUGUCACCAUGGCCUCUUUGCUCAUGGGUCCAUUGAACUAUCACUGGCGUGGCUGAGGAAAGAAGCUGACAGCAACAGUGUGUUAUUUUGUUCAUCUCAAUUUUAAGAGCUGCCUUUGCAAUGGAUGUUCUUCGGUAGGCAUUAAUAUGGAACACAAAUAUCUUCACAUUCUGUGCCCAUUCAAAGAGGUCUGAACUAAUGUUCUCAUCCCCACCCAAAAUCUCAAUUUUUACCCAUCUUGGUUAACUUCUCAACAUUAUUUCAUCUAGAUUCCUUCUCACCCACUUUUCUUUUCCACAUUAUUCUGAAGCAAAUUCCAGACAUCAUAUCACUUUACUUUAAAUAUUGCAGUACCUCUAAAAGAUAAGCAUUAUUUAAAAAUAACCACACUAUGGGGUGCCUGGCUGGCUCAGUCAGUGGACCAUGUGACUCUUCAUCUCAGGUUUGUGAAUUUGAGCCCAAUGUUGAGUGUAGAGAUUACUUAAAAAUAAAAUCUUUAUUUUUUUAAAAAGAUUUUAUUUAUUUGAAAUAGUGAGUGAGUGAGAGAGCAUGAGCAGGGCAUGAGGGGCAGAGGGAGAGGGAGAAUCAAGCACCAUGCUGAGCAGAGAGCCCUACAUGGGGCUUGAUCCUAGAAUCCCAGGAUUAUGACCUGAGCUGAAAGCAGACACUUAACUGACUGAGCCACCCGGGUGUCCCUUGAAAAUAAAAUCUUCCCAAAAAAA
rnacentral:lncRNA from 1 species